rnacentral:sRNA from 1 species
GAGGAGCUGACCAAACUUCAGAACAACUGCACCAGCUCCAUCACGCGGCAGAAGAAGCGGCUCCAGGAGCUGGCCCUCGCCCUGAAGAAAUGCAAACCCUCCCUCCCAGCAGAGGCCGAGGGGGCCGCACAGGAGCUGGAGAACCAGAUGAAAGAGCGCCAAGGCCUCUUCUUUGACAUGGAGGCCUAUUUGCCGAAGAAGAACGGAUUGUACCUGAGCCUGGUUCUGGGGAACGUCAACGUCACGCUCCUGAGCAAGCAGGCUAAGUUUGCCUACAAGGACGAGUAUGAGAAGUUCAAGCUCUACCUCACCAUCAUCCUCAUCCUCAUCUCCUUCACUUGCCGCUUCCUGCUCAACUCCAGGUGGGCGUCCCACCCCGGCCGAGGACCCACCCCAUCCCCAGUCACUGCAGUACCAACCCUCGGUCCCCUCCCUCCAUAGGGUGACAGACGCUGCCUUCAACUUCCUGCUGGUCUGGUACUACUGCACCCUGACCAUCCGGGAGAGCAUCCUCAUCAACAACGGCUCCCGGUGGGCAGGGCGGGCCCUGAGGGAGGGGAGCAUGGAAUGGGGCGCCAGGACCCUCUGGGAAGCAGGAACAGGCUCUGGGGGUGAUGGUUUCUCUCUGCUCCAGGAUCAAAGGCUGGUGGGUGUUCCAUCACUAUGUGUCUACCUUCCUGUCGGGAGUCAUGCUGACGUGGUGAGUGGCUGGGCCCCGGCAGGGGCAGGAGCUGGGACAAGGAGGGG